UUACCAGACUCCUACGGGAGGCAGCAGUGGGGAAUAUUGCACAAUGGGGGGAACCCUGAUGCAGCGACGCCGCGUGGGUGAAGGAGCACCUCGGUGCGUAAAGCCCUAUCGGCAGGGAAGAAACAGACGGUACCUGACUAAGAAGCCCCGGCUAACUACGUGCCAGCAGCCGCGGUAAUACGUAGGGGGCAAGCGUUAUCCGGAUUCACUGGGCGUAAAGGGAGCGCAGGCGGCACGGCAAGUCUGAUGUGAAAACCCGGGGCUCAACCCCGGGACUGCAUUGGAAACUGCCGGGCUGGAGUGUCGGAGGGGUAAGCGGAAUUCCUGGUGUAGCGGUGAAAUGCGUAGAUAUCAGGAGGAACACCGGUGGCGAAGGCGGCUUACUGGACGACAACUGACGCUGAGGCUCGAAAGCGUGGGGAGCAAACAGGAUUAGAUACCCGCGUA
rnacentral:rRNA from 1 species